GAUAAACGCUGGCGGCGCACAUAAGACAUGCAAGUCGAACGGAAGUCGUUUUAGUGAUUUUGAGAUGAAAGAUUUAUCCGGAUUCAAUGAUGAUCUAAAACAAUGGCUUUAGUGGCGGACUGGUGAGUAACACGUAAGCAACCUGCCUGUUAGAGGGGAAUAACAGCGAGAAAUCGUUGCUAAUACCGCAUAUGCCAUAAGAACCACAUGGUUCUAGUGGGAAAGGAGUAAUCCGCUAACAGAUGGGCUUGCGUCUGAUUAGAUAGUUGGUGGGGUAACGGCCUACCAAGUCGACGAUCAGUAGCCGGACUGAGAGGUUCAACGGCCACAUUGGGACUGAGAUACGGCCCAGACUCCUACGGGAGGCAGCAGUCGGGAAUAUUGCGCAAUGGAGGAAACUCUGACGCAGUGACGCCGCGUAUAGGAAGAAGGUUUUUCGGAUUGUAAACUAUUGUCUGCAGGGAGAAACAAGACUGUACCUGCAAAGAAG
rnacentral:rRNA from 1 species